AUAUUGUGCAAUGUACGGCAGUAUGACACAGAGAGCACACGCCCUCUUGGCCUGUCCAACUAAGUGCCAGCAGACGCGGUUAGACUUAGGGGCCAAGCCUUUAUGAGCAAAGGGGCGUAAAGGGUGUGUAGGCCGACUGCCCCACCCCCCCCCAAGGUGGUAAAUGGAAUUUUUCUGUAGCGGUAGAAUGUGCGGAUAGAAAAUAGAACCCCAAAAGCAGAAGCAAUUUACCGCGGGGCGGGAGGGGGGGCCCCUUGGGGCGCCCCUCCGGGUCACGGGCUGAAACACAAGGGUGUGGGGAACAAACAGGAUUAGAGACCCUGGUAGUCCACACUGUAAACGAUGGAGAAAAUGCGAAUGCAGCCCCGAAAGGCAGCAAUCUCCCGCCUGAGUAGUACGAUCGCAAGAUUAAAAUUCAAAAAAUUUGGCUGUUCACCGUUUCGAUUAGAGGAGCGUGUAGUUUAAUUCGAUAAACCGCGAGAUACCUUACCCAAACUUGAAUCGCCCCACCUGCGACCUUAAUGGUCCCGGAGGGGGUGACCGGUAUUGCAUGGCCGUCGUCAGUUCGUGUAUGAAACUUUAAACGGACCCAACCCGAGGAUUAACCGCGGAUGAAGUCAGGUCUUAUGGUCCCAAUGUUUGGGGAUAAUAUGCGCUACAUUUUCUUAUACAAUGGGAAACCUGGGAGGUGAAACCCAAAAGUGAGAGUUCGGUAGGCUAUUGGAAGAUGGCCGAAAGUUGAAUUUAAUAGUAAUCGGAAAGUAUAGCGUUCCGGUGAAAAUGGUCUAGGUGUUAGCACAAAUCGCCCGUCACCUUAACUUAGGAUGAGGGUUCGGACGCCGCUGC
rnacentral:rRNA from 1 species